rnacentral:rRNA from 1 species
AGAGCGAACGCUGGCGGCAGGCUUAACACAUGCAAGUCGAGCGGGCGUAGCAAUACGUCAGCGGCAGACGGGUGAGUAACGCGUGGGAACAUACCUUUUGGUUCGGAACAACACAGGGAAACUUGUGCUAAUACCGGAUAAGCCCUUACGGGGAAAGAUUUAUCGCCGAAAGAUUGGCCCGCGUCUGAUUAGCUAGUUGGUGAGGUAACGGCUCACCAAGGCGACGAUCAGUAGCUGGUCUGAGAGGAUGAUCAGCCACAUUGGGACUGAGACACGGCCCAAACUCCUACGGGAGGCAGCAGUGGGAAUAUUGGACAAUGGGCGCAAGCCUGAUCCAGCCAUGCCGCGUGAGUGAUGAAGGCCCUAGGUUGUAAAGCUCUUUGUGCGGGAAGAUAAUGACGGUACCGCAAGAAUAACGCCCGGCUAACUUCGCGCCAGCAGCCGC